rnacentral:rRNA from 1 species
GACGUAGGGCGCGAGCGUUGUCCGGAUUUAUUGGGCGUAAAGAGCUCGUAGGCGGCUUGUUGCGUCAGCUGUGAAAGUCCGGGGCUCAACUCCGGAUCUGCGGUGGGUACGGGCAGACUAGAGUGAUGUAGGGGAGACUGGAAUUCCUGGUGUAGCGGUGAAAUGCGCAGAUAUCAGGAGGAACACCUGAGGCGAAGGCGGGCUACUGGGCCGAUACUGACGCUGAUGCGCGAAAGCCAGGGGAGCGAACGGG